rnacentral:rRNA from 1 species
AGUGAACGCUGGCGGUAGGCCUAACACAUGCAAGUCGAACGGCAGCACAGUAAGAGCUUGCUCUUACGGGUGGCGAGUGGCGGACGGGUGAGGAAUACAUCGGAAUCUACUUUUUCGUGGGGGAUAACGUAGGGAAACUUACGCUAAUACCGCAUACUACCUACGGGUUAAAGCAGGGGAUCUUCGGACCUUUCGCGAUUGAAUGAGCCGAUGUCGGAUUAGCUAGUUGGCGGGGUAAAGGCCCACCAAGGCGACGAUCCGUAGCUGGUCUGAGAGGAUGAUCAGCCACACUGGAACUGAGACACGGUCCAGACUCCUACGGGAGGCAGCAGUGGGGAAUAUUGGACAAUGGGCGCAAGCCUGAUCCAGCCAUACCGCGUGGGUGAAGAAGGCCUUCGGGUUGUAAAGCCCUUUUGUUGGGAAAGAAAAGAAGCAGGUGAAUACCCCGAUGUUCUGACGGUACCCAAAGAAUAAGCACCGGCUAACUUCGUG